UUUCAUUGCAGCUAGACAUUUCAUAAAUAGAUAAUUCUCUAAUUGAUCCAGCCAAUCCUACUUUGCAUACCCUGCCAAACUAGGGAGAAUAGGAAGAAGAUGGAGGGGGUCUGGAGCCUGGGAAGGCAAACUGUGUGACAACAACAGCCACCAAGUAAAGGGAAGAGAAACAGUGAAGGUGCUUCGCGCUUUAGAGAAGAAGGCAUACUUGCUCAGCUGUUUAUUUCCCUUCCAUCAGACGAUGAACUGGGCAUAUGGUGAUGCUGAAAUCAUGCCUGCAAAGUGUUUGGAGAUAUUUGGGAGCAAGGUUGCAGAAAACUGAGAAGUAUUAGAUUAUGUUUACUUUUCCAGAACUUAUGAAAUGUUUUUUUGAUUUUCAAUACAUCUACUAGUGAAGAUUUAACUGUGUUGUCAGUGGUCCCAUGCACCUUUUUGUGGGAAGACUUGCAGUUCAUUAAAAAAAAAAAAAAGAAAAAAAAAAGACAAAAUCACUGGAACUGCAACAUAACUGCAGCAGCAUCCGCGCUAACCUAGACCACCACGCACAUGUCCCUCAGAGCUUAGUCCUCAUUGGAACCAUGGCUAAUUAACAACUCUCAGCUGUUGUGAUUACCAGAUAUUUGGAAUUAAAAUUGUAUCCAGGUUGAUUUUUGGAUCCUGUGUCAUCAGAUACUUGCUGUGUUGAAAUGGCAGUUUGAACAGGCUUUCAGAAACAAAGCAUUGUAUAGUGCUAGGUACAGUUCCUUAUGUUCUAUGAAGACAGAGAGAAACACUUAGGCUUCAUGAGAUGAGAUAGAGUGGAACUGACUUAGUUGAAAUGAAUAGGAGUUUUGGCUCCCUAGAAGAUGUGAGAGUUAAAUACAAUGAAUCCCCUGAAGAGGUGCUGGGGAAUUUGACCUCAAUUGGUUCUUUGAAGAAAGUGUAAAAAAAGCUUUAUGCAGUAUAUCUUCUCUGAACAGUUAAGAGGUUCUCCUCCCUUCAUGCUCACCAUACUAUUAGGAGCACAAAGGGAUGGCCUUUUUCAGGGGGAGAACAUAGCAAUUUUAUUUCUCAGGAAUGGGCACCAAGCACAAUCAGCACCCUUGAGAAUGAGGCUGAAAGCCCCAAACUGUGAUGACGCCCUUGCAGAAAAUGACUCUCCAUAUAGAUCCCUGAGAUCUACAUGACUAUGCAACCAGAUACCAUCAGAUAUCUGAUCUAUUUUGGUUGAAAAGGGACCUUCCUGCAAACAUAUGCAAAAAUGUGUAGCUAUUCCACAAAGAACUGCUUCUCUGCUUAAGUUCUGCCUUGAAAUUUCUCUUUAUCUGUGGAAGAAUUAAGCACAAGGUUGGGUCGUUCAAUGUGGACUGUUAACUCAAUGCUCAAAACCAAGACAAACAGUGCAGGAACAGGAUGAAAUAUGUUCUGAAGCAUUUUUGUCAGUCAAACCCAGGUAAUACACAUUACAGAUUUACAUCACAAGGGAAUAACCACUGUGUACUUGAGAUCACCACAGAAAAAGGAAAAAAAUGUAAUAAGAACAUUUCUGUUACAGUGAGUUCAUCGCUGUGUAAUUUUCUAACCAAAAUGACAUCCACAACCUUCCAAGAUAAGCAUGUCUCCAAAAUGUCUUCUCUCCUGAAAUCUUCAUGUGCAUCCAGCAUUUCUCUAAAUUCUAGUGGUGUAAGAAAAAAGGGUACCUAGCUGUCAUUUGAGGGUUUAUUCCCUCCAUCUGCAUCCCUUCGCAUCAUGAGCUGCAUUGACAGCUUUGGUUAACUUGGCUGCUCCCUCCUUAAUCCAUAGGAAACCUAAGCUUGGCCAAUGUUUUGCUCAGUGUGGUUUGUUCCCUCUUCCUUUUCCAUGAAGGCUCAACUUUCCUCGCUCACAUGCUAAAUAAGCUGGAGGAGCCUGUGUUAGUCCCUCACAAAUCUGCAUGGGAGGGAAAAGAAGAGACAAGAAGGUAAUGGCAAACCAGCCACAAAUCCUGGUCCAUGACUAUAGAUCCACAGAGCAGGUGGCUUAUGCAAUGGAUGCCUUUGUGUUUCCCCAUGCAGAUGAUUUGGUAGCACAUGACUAAACCCUGAGUGCAGACACAUGGCUCCAGAGACAUUUGCUCAGUUUAUGGAGUGAGGGAAAAAAGCAGAAUAUAUAUUUCAGAACAUAUUAGAUAUUUCUGAAAUACUUGAUGGUACAUAUACUGUGUGUUUAGUACAUGCAUUAUGUCUCAAAGUAUUCAUGCAUGGAUAUUUACUUUUAUUAUUUAUAGACCAGUUACAACACCAAGCCCACUUCCAGGCAUCAAGAAUAAACCUAUAUUUCACAGCUAUUUUUAUAACCGAUGGUAAAUCUUGUAGAUGGUGUGACUACUGUGAAAGUUAUCUGACCUUGAGCAAGAAGAAAGCCUCUCAGGAAGACUUCUAUCCCAGAAAUCAUCAAUAUGUGCCUGAAAAUGGUUGCUUAUUUGCAGCCAGCGACAGUUUGGAUCUACCAUAGGUUCCUUAUUUAAAUGAAAGAACACGCAUGCUUAACCCAUAUAUCUCAAAGCCAAAAAUACUUCCUUUCACAGUGGAUUGAGCAAGGUGUGGGGCCGGCAGUUUUUGGAAAAGGCUUCAUUGCGGUUCUUCAAGAAAUGUACACAUCAGCAUUAAACAGCCACAUCCGACUAAAAGACCAACAUCAGGAAGAACCCCAGUACUGUAUUCUGCAGUUUGUACCACACCGUAUGCUUGCGCUGCCCAAAAAUGUUCCAUAUGGCUCUCUUUCCCUGGUGCCAAUGACGCUUUAAGGAGCCAGAAGACUCGGCCAGUAAAAAAGAAGCCAGUUAGGAGUACCAGAGACUAACAGAUGUUAAAGUUGGGAGAAACCAUCACAAUAAUCUAUGAUAUUCAGCCCACACAAAACAAAGAAUUUUCGCAAGGCUAUCUGUAUGGUCUCAAUGUGUAAUUGCAAAAACUAGAGACACAUAAGUAUUUUUCAAGUAAUUAGCACCUGGAAUGAUACCACAUUUCAGUAGUUAGAGGUUGUGCCUGUACAGUUAUGUAUUAUAGUCCUUUCUCGGGCUCUGAAGGCAAAGUGGAUGUCAUGUCCGUGUGCCUGAAUCUUCUUCCUCCCAAAACAGGGUGCCUACAUGGCACAUAGCAGAUACUGCUCCUGAAAACCUCCUGAACCUCUGCAUUGUCCGAUGGUGAUGGUGGGCCACAGAGUGUGUGAGCAGCCUGACCAGUAAUGGUCCAGCACACUGACCUAUGCUGCAGACCCAAGCAUGAAUGCAAUGAGAUCCUAUUAGAUAUACAGCAGAAAGAGUGGUUUUUUGACAGACUUUAAAGUUUGGCUUUUUUAUAGGAACAGUCUGAGCAUAAAUGGGAGUGUUGGACAAAUGAUAUCUAGGCUAUAUAUUAUGCAAGGAAAACUCUAAAGUCUGAGUGAAUAUUUUGGUUUCAGAUCCCAUCAUGUUGGAAUGGUGACUUGUACCAUUCAACAGAAAUGCAUGUGUGUGUGUAUAUAUAUAUGUAUGUAUAUGGAAUGCUUAUUCAGAUACAGUGUUAAGGUGACUGAUUUCUAGAUAAUAUCUGCUGUGAGGCAAAUUCUUUCUAAUCAUGUAGUAGGUCCACUGGCUCUGCAAGUACUGGUCAGAGCUAGGUUAAAAAAAAGUAUCAGAUGGGGCAAAAAAGGCAAAUAUUACAGGAAUUCUUUACUGAUCUCUACUGUAGUUGUAGUAUAUUGAAGCUCUAGAGGGUUACUUUGGCUACUCAAUCUGGGAUAUCGAGCACAAAGUGCUAGACCCUAUCUUAGAAAAGUCUUCUAUUUUUCUAUGAAAAAGGUUCUAGCUUUGAGAAUAUAAGAACAUAAAAUUUCCUAUGCAUCAGAAUAAGCAGCCAUGUAAUCCAGGAUCUCUCCUCUGAAAAUAACUAGACAGGGACUUAUGAAAAAAACAUCCAUGAGCAGGGAAUGGUCUGUGAUGAUGGUUUUGGAACCUUUUCCUUGUCUUGCAACUCAUGGUUGGGGGAUUUCCGGAGCAGGAGGCAGUAGGUACAUCACUAUGGUCAAAUGGAUCUUCAUUUCAAGAAUCUAUCAGAUGUUUUUAUGGGUUUGUUAGAGUUUUUGCCUUCACAUUAUCCUGUGGCAAUGAGUUUCCUG